AACAUAUGAUUCGGUAGCACCUGGACCACUUCCUAGUGUUGUGAGCUCUGGUGUGCACUGAUCAUUUUUCUGAAAAAGUACUUUUGCCCUUGAUUGGGUAGUUGUGUGAUUCAGAUCAUUUACUGUGAGUAAAUCAGAGUGUUCAAAGCAGGCUUUAUGCUUGUAUGGUUCAGCAUGGAAUAAUAAGAUAAGACUUUGGUUUUAUUUUGUUGGCUAUAUAUAACCAAAGUAAUGAUUAAAAGGGAUAGUUGGGGGUGCUAGUAUUUAAUGGUCAGCGGUGAAAUGCGUGGACCCAUUAAAGACUAACUUAUGCGAAAGCAUU
rnacentral:rRNA from 1 species